ACGUUAGUAAGAUCAGCCAUGCAUGGUUUGUUGUUUUAGCCUUCGUUUACACAAACUACGAAUGUUCCUACAUGGAAAUUGGCAUCUUAUAAGUUUAGGUUAUAAAAAAAAUACUCUUUUUUUAAAAUUGACAAUAUUGCACCCACUUCACAGGUUCGUAUACCACUAAUAUAAUAUAUUCUUUUUUUAAAAAAAACCUGUAUCAAAGUUUGCACAAAUCUUAAAGUACCAUCUGGGCAAACUUGUACUCCUGCUUCAUAUCAUAAGUUGUUUAGUUUUUUCCUAGUCAAAUUUCUUUAGGUUUUCCCAAGUUUCUAGAAUAAUAUAGUAGUAUUUUUAAUAUAAAACAAACAUAUUAUCGAAAAUAUUUAAUUUCAAUUUUAAUGAAACUAACUUAGUGUUGUGCAUUUUGCUAAUUUUUUUUUGUCAAACCUAAAUAAUUUUAAAUAGGAAAAAAAAUCAAACGACUUAUAAUAUGAAACGGAGGGAGCACCUUGUAUAGCAGUCUAUAGGCCAUCCAGACUAUCUUGACAUAUGUCCGUAGCCCAGCUCUCUCCUCGCUUAUCUCUGAUCCUUCUCCUACCUGCUGCCCCCAGGUAAUGUGUCUGCACAUUCUUUGUGUGUGUACAUGAAGUUUGAGAGGCGUUUUGCUCAAGACCGCGCAACGAUUCCAUAUGACACCGCAUCGUUGUCCAUGCCUAUCAUGUUCAUCCAGAGCCCCUGUUGAUCUUCAGAUAAGAGAAAAGCUCAAAAUUAAAGAAGGCUUGUUUAUUGAUCAUGUCAAGGAUAGGUAUCGACGGCGAUGCGCUGGCUAUGGCCAUGGUUGUGCGGUUCUUGCGCAAUAACGUUUUGAUCUCGAUCUCCUCUCCUCUCUCCAAAGUUUUUCUUUCUUUACUCCUCUGAUGGAACAAUGCAUGCAUUUACUGAGUUUUUGUCUCCUGUUCUUCCUCGUCUGCAUGUUCUUGAAUGGUUUGGUCGCUCUUAUUCUUCUGUGAUUUCCUUGUCCAUCAUUAUCUCAGGGCAUGCAUGAAAGCUCUAUAAAUUAAGAUGGAACCUUUUCUUUUAGUUUUGUUGAUGAUGACUAAUUUGGUUUGUUGCUAGCUACUAGCUGUUGUUUCCUGUCUGAAAACUAUGAAGCUAUCUUGUAAGGUAGGUAAGACGAAUGCGGAGGUUCUUACUACUUCGGCCCUUGCCUAGAGCUUCAGAAAUAUAAACUAAGAUUACCAUGAAGAACAGGUGUGUGCAACUUUAUUUAUGGUAUUGAUGAAAACUCAAUCUAGUAAACAUCAUGUAUGAUCCAGUAGAUCGAUCGAUUAGAUUCAUCGUACCUGAAUCUAUUUUUGCUUACCGUACUGUAGCUAGUCUUUCACCUUCAGUCUUUGCAAGUUAUAUUUUUUUAUACUAGGUUUCGUUCUUGCAUACUUGCAAAUGCUCUUGUAAUUGAGUUUUCAGAGUUCUCCACUUGCAAUAACAAAUAUUUUGGUUGUCUUUCCAUGAAGCAGAUCAGAUGGCUAGAUAGAUGGUAAAUGAUCUGAAAAAUAUAAAAGAAGAUUACAGGCACUGUUUGACAAUACUUAACUGAAUCUAUAUGCAACUUAUCUUUCAGUACAUUGCACUGGAAUUUGCCAUUUGCUAGCACUUGCUGCCUAUCUGUAGUGCUUAUGGGAUUCAUGUCAGAACUAACUACUACCUGUAUUUUGUAGGUUUAAGAGUGUAAAUUAUUGGUCCCCUUCUUGCAUUUUCUCUCAAUUUAUUCAGGUAACAAACGCUUGCAAGUCUGCUAUUUUAAGCAUUGCAAGCAGUACUAGUACUAUAUAUAUACAUGCUCCGCUAAUGGUCAGGCAACAGAAGACCAAACAUUGUACUAGGCCAGCCAUCUCGUUACAUACUUACAUCAAUGUUUGCACUGUGAUGUGACUCUUGAUGCAUUAUUUGCUCGAUCAUAUAUAUGUAAAAUAUAGCCAGUUCUCAUGCAUAAUUCAUGUGAGAAGAUCGAGCAAGAGUGGUCGAGCCGUCCAAGAAGACAUUAUAAAACCACAAAAGUUCCAACAUAUUGAUCAUUGAUUGCUGCUGUCCUACAGCAUCCAGAGUGCUAUAAAUUCACAUCAUCAAUUCAUCAUCUCCAAUAUAAUGCAGCUGCAAGUUUCAUACAUGGAUGUGGCUUGUUUCCGACAUCGCAGAGGUUAACUUCUUGUUGCUAUCCUCCAUUAUCUAUUAAAAAAAAAAUCUUGUUACUAUCCUGAUGGUCAGAGUUGCCUGAUGAUCGAUUGAUGUCUUUUUGGGGGUCUCUCCAUGGAAUUGCACAGACAAAUACCCAGUGUUCUAGAUUCCAGAAAUGUUAUCAGUGACAAUGUGUGUUCAGGCUAGGUGCCAAAGGAAGUACAGGUACCCCAUCUGUUGACUCUUGUGCUAGCAGCGUGCAAGCAAGCAGACAAUCAUGCAUAUGGUCUCAGUAAUUGCAUAUGAGUGAUGUAGGACAUGGUGUUUACUCCCCUGAAUGCAGGCCCGGCCUUGAUCAGGGGCUAAUUAACAUUACUUAGUGCAAUCUUUGCUCUGUUUUGUAAUUACAUUGAUGUGCCAGAUAAGCUACAGUACAUCAGGAAUGAGAGGAGUGCAUCAAAAUACUGAAGACCAUGAUGGAUAUUUCGAAAUUGCAAAUGAGGGGUGGCCGGUCUGUAAAAACAGUUUUCUCCUAAAAGAUCGACAUUGCUCAAGCGACCUUAAUCUAGAAAAUAAUUUCAAAGGAAACUAGGAAUCAUGGCAUGGAUCAAUGAGGAGGCACUUUCUAAGCCAAGUGAUCAAGUCAAGGUGCAAACUUAUCACGAAGGUCUUUCAGAACUCAUUCGAAGUGUUUUUGCGGCCUGCAAUCCUAAUCGGCCAAUAACACAUACGCCUUCUGGCCAAACUCCUCUACCCUUACUCUCAUAAAUAGGAGCUAACCUUCAUAUGAGGUCAAUGUACCAAGGAAAGGUUGAUAACAAUCAAAAUCGAAAGGAUGGAGUAACGAUUGCAUCGAUAAAAAAAAUCCCAGCAUUGUAGCGCAAAAGGACAUGUGAAGAAGAGAUGUUGGAGAGUUUCUUCAUGCCUCAGAUUACACACAACACAAGUAGUAAUCUGGUCUCAAAAA